CACUGGUGGCCCACAGUCCUCUAACCCUGCGUGGUAUACAGCUGUGGAGCCCAGAAUUCUGGAAUAAAGAAACCCUUAUGUUAUUGCAUCGAGACCGUUUCUCUCGAGUGAUUUGGGUGUCACCUUCCAGGGUGCUGGGGUGCCCUCGGUUUUUUUGGGGUCUUACAUUUUCUCGGUGCAUUGGCCAGGAAGUAUGAUUUCCCUUCACACGCGAGAACUAACUCGGAGGAAGCCAAAAAGAUUACCCCCUCAGACAAAAGGAAAGAGGCACCUGAAGGACCAACACACAAGACUCCAUUGGCAGGUCUCGAGGGCAUGGCAGCCCACGAAUUUGACCAAGGUAUGUAAGGUUAAGCAGGGACCAGAUGAGUCACCUGCAGCUUUUCUAGAGCAGCUCAUAGAGGCAUUCUGCCAAUAUACAUGCUAUGAAUCCAGGGGCUCGGAAUAUAAAGCUACUAUGACAAUGGCUCUUAUAGACAGGGCUAGUAGAAAUAUCAGGAAAAAGCUUCAGAGGCUAGAGGGAUUUGGUGCAGGUUGCUGAGAAGGCCUGUAGAAGGAUUUAAUAUAGGUUGUUGAGAAAGUCUAUAGAGAGAUUUAGUACAGUUUGCUGAGACAGGAAGACAGAGGAGGAGAAGAAACAGAGAAAAAGAAAGAAAAUGACAGAGAAGGAAGGAAGCUACAGAGAAUCCUGGCUAUAAUAGUUAGAAAAAGCAGAAAAGGGAGACAGAAAAGGACCAGUGUGCAUACUAUAAGGAAAGAGGCCACUGAGCCAGAGUGUGCCCUAAGAAAUAGAUGUCAGGAGCAGGAAUUCCCAGGUUUUGGGAAAAGUGCCCCCAAAUGGCAAACCCAGGUGUUAGCCCUGGGUGAAGACAAUGACUAGGGGAGAUGAGUUUUCUGACCACCUCCUCCAACCCAGGAUAACUGUGGGAGUGAAAGAGAAACACACUCAGUUCUUGGUGGACACAGGGGCUUAACACUCGGUCUUCCAAGCCAAUGGCGCUGUUUCCAAGAAAAGAUUUUAGAUCCAAGAAGCCCCUAGCACCAAACUGUAUUCAUGGACUACCCGAAGAACAGCAGACCUAGGGAUAGGAUGAGUAGCCCAUUCAUUUGGGGUGUCCCAGACUGUUCCUACUCUCUAUUGGAGUAAGACAUACUCUCCAAAAUGGGGAGGGGGUCAGAUAUACUUCCUGCCCAACGGGCCCAAAAAGAGAGACUGACCCCUGCUGAAAGUCACUACAGACAGGAGCAGUUUUCUCCCUGAUGGACAGAGAUAAGCAGGUGCUGCUAUGGUGGACGACACAAAUGUCAUCUGGGUAGAAGAAUCUUUACCCCCUGGGAUGUCAACGCAGAAAGUGGAGCUCGUUGCCCUCACCAAGACCUUGGAACCAGCAAGAAAAUCAACAUCCACACAGAUAACAGGUAUGCCUUUGCCACAGCCCAUGUCCACAGGGAUAUAUGCCAAGAGGACUGCUCACAUCAGAGGAAACCAACAGGAAAUCUCGGACCUCUUAGAUGUCCUAAUGAACUCAGCCCCUGUGAGUAUUCACUGCCCAGGACGCCCAAAGGGAAAAGACUCAAUGGGCAAUAACCAGGGAGAGCAAAUGGCUCCAGGAAUGGAUAUGCAGGAGCCUAUACUGAUUAUGGGUCUGUAAGAGACACCCAUUUGGAAAUGGGACAAAAUUAAGGAACAGCCUCACUUAAAAAAGGACUGAGAUUAUUAACCACCCUACCAACUAUUACCAAGAGAGGGUGCACACAAGAAGGGAGAACUAUACUCCCCAGAAAGUAAGCCAAAGACUCACUAGGCAAAUGCACAGAUGGACUCAUUUAGGGGAUUAAAAAAAAACCCAACAACAACAAAAACAAAAAAAACAAAAAACAAAACCUUUGUCCUGGCAGUUAAGGGACCAAAUGUAUAUAUUUAUGACUCAGGUUUUAGGCUAGAGAGAUAAUAGAGCAGUGUAAGGUAUGCCAGCAAGUAAAUGCUUAUGCAGUAAAGAGUAAACAGGGCAAAAGACCUAGAAGAGAACAGCCUAGAGUACAUUAAAAGAUUUUAUAAAAGGUAAGGCAGGAGAAUAUGGUUAUAAAAUACCUUUCAGAUAGUUUUCUUUAGAUGGGUUGAAGCAGGAAACAGCUGCCAAGUUUAGAAGAAAUUUUCCCGAGUUUCAGAGUGCCCAAGGUAAUUGGUUCAGAUAAUGGUUCUGUUUUUGUUUCUAAGGUAAGUCAGAAAUUGACAAAGAUAUUGGGGACUAAUUGGAAACAUUAUUGGACGUACUGUCCCCAGGGCUCAAGGCAGGUCAAAACGCUAUGAGAGACCUUAACUAAAUUGACCUUGGAGACUGUCUCAGACUGGGUGGUGCCUCUUCCCUUGUUUCUGAAGAGCCCCCACCAUUUUAACCUGACUCCCCUAGAGAUCCUCUUUGAUACCCCAACUCCUUUGGUGUCCACUGGGCCCUCCCAGGAGGUGUCCCACAAUAUGAGAUCUGCCUUAAAUGCUCCAGGCAUGCCAGAGACUCCUCACUGCUUCCAGAUGGGCACUGGAUCUGUAUAAGAAGGCUUCACGAACUGUUGCUGAAACCCUGAAGAAAGAAACCCUCACCAAAUUGACCACAGAGACUGGUAUUAAUGUUUAGAUAGCUCUCCUACCCUUUGUGCUCUUCAGGCCUUUUUGCUCUAGGCUCAAGACUCUCGAGUGGGUGAGGCAGCGAGCGUGGAAGGCCUACUCAGGAGAAAGAUACUUGCAAGUCUUUUCCAAGUUGGAGGUUUCGGUCUACGUUAGACACCACUGGGCAGAAUACCUUGAGACUUGAUGGAAAGGCCCUUAUCUUGUACUCUUGACCACCCUGCUUUCUGCUUUAAUGAGACCCUUUGUAAUUUUACUCCCUUUGCUUACAAUUGGAACCUGUGUGACUAACCGGUUAAUAGUUUUUAUUAGAGAACGAAUAAGUACUAUGGAGAUUCUUAUGCUACGCCAACAAUAUCAGAGAUUUAGGGCAGGACAACCCAGAAUAUAUAGAGUCAGAGAUUUAGCUCUAUAGUUCUAAGAUUAGAACUAUUAACAAGAGAAGAACUGGGGAAUGAAAGGAUAGAAAAUAAUACAGCCUAACUCUAAUGACCCCAAGAAGUCAGAAGUUUAAAAUGCUAUCUCGCUUAGUUAGAAACUAGGUAAAAUGUCACAUUCCAGAGCCCGCCCUUUGUUUAGAGCUGGCAGAAAGGCCUUGAAUAGGUGAUCCUGGCCCCAUAAGGUAACUAUAAGCUUAUCUUGCUUCUGUAAACUUACGACAUUCACCCUAUGCAGGAGUUCAUGCAGCUAUAGACAUUCAAGAAAAUAGGAAACUAAUUGGUCCACUGAGCGCAGGCUCUGAUAAUUUAAACUGAUUGGCCUAAAAACUAUGGAGUGGUACAAAUCGAUUGGCUUGCUUUUCGCGGGCUCUCCAUGCUAAGAAAUAAUUGGUUUGUGAUUCACAAGCUUUGUUGUAAACUUAUAAAAGCUGUCGCAAUUUGGCACUGGUGGUCCACAGUCCUCUAACCCUGUGCGGUGUACGGCUGUGGAACCCAGAAUUCUGGAAUAAAGAAAUCCUUGUGUUAUUGCAUCGA